rnacentral:lncRNA from 1 species
GACAGCGACGUCUGUAACCAUCUGGUAGUGGACCGCUCAAAGCCGCGUGGAGUUUGUUAUGGAGAGUAGUGGCGUCAAGGGUCAUUCAGGGCCACGUGGAGCUUGUUGCGGAGAGUGGAGUGGUGUCCGUUCUUGGGACUUGUCAGAGAGUGGUGGAGCUGCAUGAAAUCUGUUGCAGGGAGUGGAGCAGGAGGGCGGCUCUUGUCGCGACUCGUCAGAGAGUGGUGGAGCUGCAUGAAAUCCAUUGCAGAGAGUGGAGCAGGGGGGCGGCUCUUGUCGUGACUUGUCAGAGAGCUCGGAUCCGUCGGCUGGAGCUCGGCUGGGAUAUCUGAUGGAGCGGAAUGGCUCUCUAUUGUUGGUCUGGGAGAAGC